rnacentral:sRNA from 1 species
UUUUAGCCCCGAUUGAAGUGGAAAUCCUGUCAUUGCGUUUGCGUAAUGUGUUUGAUUGGAUUGCUUCGUUCCUCGCAAUGACAGAUUGCAACGGAAAGCAGGAAAAAGG